AUUUGGUACUGCAGACAAAUAGGUUAUGGGAAACUUCUCAACCCCUCCUUCCUCCCUCUCUCCCCCUCUCACUGGCUCUCGCUUAUACGGUAGCUGUCGUGCUCGUGCGCUUGGACUGCGCUCUUGUGAGAAUCAGAGCCGCUGAGGCACGCGCAAUCAACUGAGUAUUAGCGGCAAUUUUAAACCGAAAGCUCCUCGUGCACGCCGGCGUCUUUACCUACAGCAGGAGUUGCAUCUGGUCACGUCGGCUUCGGCAUAAUUAAAAAAAAAAACCUUUGCUCAAGGCUGAAGGAAAAUGUGACCGUUACUUACACACUUGAAUUGAGCAUGUGGGACCUGGUAUCAAUGUUAUCAAAUGAUAAACCAACAUGAGUGGUGCUUCUGAGGAGAUGCGUUGCUCUUUGCUGUGAGGAUGAAAGGUUGCGAGAGCUCUCCAGCACAUGCCACCUUCAUUAGUUUCCAGCACCUGAAGACACAAGGACACAAACCCAACUAACUGACCAUUUCAUUCAGCUUUGCUGACGUGGAAAGAUGACCACUGUGACCUAACGUUACAGAACAGUCUGACAGCACAUUAUAAGCGCCACACAAA